GACGAACGCUGGCGGCGUGCUUAACACAUGCAAGUCGAACGAAGUGGCGAACGGGUUAGUAACGCGUAAUCAACCUGCCCUUCAGAGGGGGACAACAGUUGGAAACGACUGCUAAUACCGCAUACUGAAGGCGGGGAUUGCGUCUGAUUAGCUAGUUGGAGGGGUAACGGCCCACCAAGGCGAUGAUCAGUCGCCGGUCUGAGAGGAUGACCGGCCACAUUGGGACUGAGACACGGCCCAGACUCCUACGGGAGUCAGCAGUGGGGAAUCUUCCGCAAUGGACUAAAGUCUGACGGAGCAACGCCGCGUGAGUGAGGACGGCCUUCGGGUUGUAAAGCUCUGUUAAUCGGGACGCGGUACCGGAAUAGAAAGGCACGGCUAACUACGUGCCAGCAGCCGCGGUAAUAC
rnacentral:rRNA from 1 species